rnacentral:misc_RNA from 1 species
ACAGUAAAAGUCCGCAGUAGAUUAUUAUAUGACAGUUAUUUAGAGACAAGGUGGCUGGUGCAAACCUUGGUAUAUAAUAGUUGAAUUACAGGCUUUAUUUUAAAACCUGUCACUGAAAUCAAGCGGAUGUACUUAUGUGCAUCAACUAGGGUGGUAACGCGGAGAUUUACUUCGUCCCUUUC